rnacentral:rRNA from 1 species
CCUUAGAGUUNGNAUCCUGGCUCAGAGUGAACGCUGGCGGUAGGCCUAACACAUGCAAGUCGAACGGCAGCACAGAGGAGCUUGCUCCUUGGGUGGCGAGUGGCGGACGGGUGAGGAAUACAUCGGAAUCUACUUUUUCGUGGGGGAUAACGUAGGGAAACUUACGCUAAUACCGCAUACGACCUACGGGUGAAAGCAGGGGAUCUUCGGACCUUGCGCGAUUGAAUGAGCCGAUGUCGGAUUAGCUAGUUGGCGGGGUAAAGGCCCACCAAGGCGACGAUCCGUAGCUGGUCUGAGAGGAUGAUCAGCCACACUGGAACUGAGACACGGUCCAGACUCCUACGGGAGGCAGCAGUGGGGAAUAUUGGACAAUGGGCGCAAGCCUGAUCCAGCCAUACCGCGUGGGUGAAGAAGGCCUUCGGGUUGUAAAGCCCUUUUGUUGGGAAAGAAAUCCAGCCGGCUAAUACCUGGUUGGAUGAC